UAAAGCAGUUCGGUUCAGCUCUUUGAAUCGGAUAAGUUAAAAAAAAUCUCUUUAUAUAAUAUUCUGGAUUCUGGUAAAUUAAUAAAAUUAUAAUUUGAGUUUGAGUUUUUUUUGGAGUAUUUGGAUAAAUUAGAUCAAUUGUAAUGUAAAAAAGGAUGCGAAAACAGAAUUCGGAAAAGAACUACUUUCCAGAUGCCCGGAUAGGGUUUAGGGCGCCCAGAAACUCUGUAACUGAGGGGUGGAAU
rnacentral:lncRNA from 1 species